GUAACCCUUUUCUGAACAAGAAUGUUUAAAAGCGUCUGAGAAACAGACCUAUGAAGGAAGCUGAAGAACUGGGUUGUUUAGUUGUGAAAAAGAGAAGAC